UUGUUGACAAAAGUCAAGGAAUGCAAAAAGACACUGCCAAAAAAUUAAACGAUUGGUUAUUAAUGUAAGGAUGAGUGUUGUAGAAAACAAACAAAUGAAUAACCGCCAAAGAGGGGCUUAAGAAGAAAAUUCGAUGGAUGCGGCGAGGGGCUAAUCUAUUUAUGAAAGUAUCUUUUAUGGGCCUAUAUUUUUGGAGUAGGUGUUAAAGGUCAUAAGUGUACUUCACAUACUAAAUUUCAGCCAAUUCUAAUCAAACCUGAGGCUCCAGGAAAGAAAGCUCUCGAAAAGAUAUAUAACCCAUACAAGACACUGAUACUGCCCAUUUUGUCAUGCGAUUUCGAAUCAUGGGUACAUGCGAAAGUAGACGAGGGAGUAACUGGAGUGUUUGGGAGAAAGAUUCUUUGUAAAAUCUAUGGAACAAUCUGCAAUGGGAUAUCGGUCUCAUAUGAACAAGAGCUGUAUUACAUCGUUGGCGUAGUUAAACAUAUCAAAAUACAAGGAAUACGUUGACCAGAUCAUGUUGUUAUACUAAAUGAAGAAGCCCCCGUUGAGAAGUCUUUCAAAAACAGUCCGGAUUGUUAAAGCACGAAUAGAAGACCAAAACUUCGAUGGAGAGACCUAAUGGAAAAAGACUUCUCGCUACAAAUUGCUAUUGAAAAAGGAACACAAAACACGGAGGCGGCUGAAAACCUAUUCAAAGUUCUGCGGCGGUAUGAAAUUUGGCCCCGGGGUCCUGUUUUCAUGCAGCUAUUGAGGCCAAUUUGGAGUUUCCUCAAGUUAUUUUGAACUUUUCCAAUUAAAUUUCAAAUUAAAAUAAGAGUUGUGAACAAAAAGAAAUGAAACCUGACAAAUAAAUAAAUAAAUCUAAAUAAAAUGUA